rnacentral:rRNA from 1 species
UGAGUAACCUGCCCUUAACUCUGGGAUAAGCCUGGGGAAACUGGGUCUAAUACCGGAUAUGACUCCUCAUCGCAUGGUGGGGGGUGGAAAGCUUUAUUGUGGUUUUGGAUGGACUCGCGGCCUAUCAGCUUGUUGGUGAGGUAAUGGCUCACCAAGGCGACGACGGGUAACCGGCCUGAGAGGGUGACCGGCCACACUGGGACUGAGACACGGCCCAGACUCCUACGGGAGGCAG